AGAUUUCUGAGACCCAGGUUCUGAGGUAGGACCUAUGCAAUGUGCUGUGAUUACAGAGGAUGCUGCUGUCAGCUAGACUUGUCCCUGCAGACAGCACAAACCUGCAAAUAUUUCAAAUAGAAAUUCCUGGCCAGAAGGCUAGUCGGUGAUAAGAACUAUAUUUAAAGGCCAAAACAGAACAAAGCUAACCUCCUUCGUUGCAAACGCACAAGAUGCCAUUUAGAAAAACAUUGAUGCAAUCACCCUGGCCCUGUUAAAUAAGGGGACCCUAAUGUGGCCCGCGAUCAAACUCACUUCCUCAUUAAGAGCACAAGCCUAAGUCAUCUCCAGAUUCAACCAUUUCCAUCACUAUUGACCUCUGCCUGCAGUCCACUAAAAUGAUCAGAUAUCCUGGAACUGAA